rnacentral:rRNA from 1 species
UACGUAGGGCGCAAGCGUUGUCCGGAAUUAUUGGGCGUAAAGAGCUCGUAGGCGGUUUGUCGCGUCUGUCGUGAAAGCUUGGGGCUUAACCCCAAGUCUGCGGUGGAUACGGGCAGACUAGAGGCAGGUAGGGGAGAACGGAAUUCCCGGUGUAGCGGUGAAAUGCGCAGAUAUCGGGAGGAACACCGGUGGCGAAGGCGGUUCUCUGGGAAUGACCUGACGCUGAGGAGCGAAAGUGUGGGGAGCGAACAGG